UCUUUUAAUUUUCAUUUCACGGCUAAAUUGCGAAGAUUUUAAUUUUCUUUCUCCUCUUUUUUUCUGACCAGAUAUCGAAGAAGAAAAAUAUCAAAGAAGAAUGCAAAAUAACGAAAAAGGUUAUGGAUUACAGUAUAAGUUAGAAUCAAUAAAAGUAAGUAAAAUUAUACAACAAUUUCUAUAACUAUUUUAUUCUUUAAAUUAUAACCUAAUUUCAUGAAAAAUAUCUUCCACCUAUCGGAAUCUAAGAAAAAAAAAUACUAGUCCGCAAUUGGUUGAUAAUUGUGACGUAUUUCGAAACAUAACCAAUCAAAAUCCUUUGCGCAUUGCACAUCACAAAUUGUUUUCUUUUAAACGAAUAAGGAAUAAACAUAACCAAGAUCGAUCGUAUUAUCGUUAAUUCCAAACAUGAGAAUAAGAACAGGAAAAAGAAUUAAUGGGCUUAUAGGCAUGACAAUGUGACGAGAUAAGAUCAGAGGCCCCAUUUUACUUGUCCUGGAGACCGCACCGGCGAUCAUAUCACGCGAAAUCGCAUCGUGUAUCUCUGGCGAGAGAGUCUCUUCGGUAAGACAGGCCUUUUAUCGAUUUUUGAUCGCGACUUUGUGGCAGGGAGUUUAUAAGCGUCACAGUCUCUUCAGACAGAUACUGUGCAGACUCGAGGCAUCUAGUAAGUAAGUAAGUACUCGAGACUGCGGCCUUUCUAAUCGAGAUAUCGAAUGUUCCAGGGAGGAAAGAUCGAGUGGGCUUUGAUCGGAUUCGAUGAGUCUCGUGCGAUUAAUAUUAGGUCAUCCUAUGUGUAUAGCAAUAAUGCAGUAAAUAUAUCAAAGACUGAUAUUAGGUCAUAUAUAAACGAUAUAAUAAAUAUCGAAGACUCGUAUGAUUAAUAUAUGAUUGGCAAGGAAAGGAAAGAGAAACUAAUAUGAGAAAUCCAGAAACUCGAGCAUUUCUUCAAAACAGAACACUGUAUCCCUUAACUGUCGCGAGGAAAAUGGAUUUUACAGAUGGCAAUGAAAAGAUGCAAAAAUUUUAAACCAUCUUGAAAAAUAUAUAGCAAAUUGACUGAAAAAAGGUAUGAUCACGAAAGAAAACACAGGAACUACAAAAUAUUACAUUUUUUAGAUUAAAUUUUUUCUCAAGUCCAAUUAUAAAUUUAUCAAAAAUCAAAAAUUCGUUGAAAAUUCAUUAAUUUCGUAUUCGUAAUCGGAGGAAGACAAAUUUAUGAGAGAAAAGAAGAAAAAGAAGAAGAAAAUGACCCUCCUUCUCCAUUUUCUUCGAACUCACCCCCUAAGGGAAGACAGUGGAUUCGGUUUAAGCUUGCAAACUGGAAAAUACGGCUACAAUGCGGCGGCUGCUUCCUCCCAGAUGCAUAAAUUCGAUAAGACCGGUAGAUAGUGACGUAACUCGUUUCCUUGCUCGCAUCCAAGCAAGAAAACGCGCAACAAAUUUUCUCUCUGAGUGCAACCCCAAACCCAGAAACGAAAGCAAUAACUUUUCCCUCCAAUUUCUUUUCCCCCUACGUUCUCAGACGCUAAAUAUUCUUCCCAAAUUUUUGCAAAUUUAAUGAAUUUUUUUUAUUUUCCAAUUUAUCUCUGAAAUUUGUAAAAAUAUAUCAAACAUUUUUUAUUUUUUAAAUCUUCUGUUUAUUGAACUUUCCACUUUCUCUGUAACGAAUUUUUCACUCCUCGAGUUUUUCUUUACUGAAUUUUUCACCUUUUCAAUCAAGUUUUCCAUACAUUUAACAAAAGUGUAUCAAACAUUUCCCACUUGUCAAAUUUCUCUACUCUUUUCCUUCCCCUUCUCUUAAAUUUCUCAAGCAUCGAAUAUUUUCUUUCCUUUCUACCGAUUUCUCUGCCAAUUCUCUCCCCUCCCCCCAACUUUCACGUUUCUUCUAUGUCCCUGGAGAAUCCCAAGGAGAGAGAGACCUCCCGCCGCGCACGAAAAAAGGGAAUUUCACGCCUCUAUCCUUUGACGGCGGGUAAAAAAGGAAACGGUUACUCAUUACCGCCUCCAUUCACCGUCACUCGGAUUGAGGGAGGUCUCCGCGAAACGAUCGUCGCUGUCACCAAUCACGAAAAUGGAAGAAAUUCCUCCGGUUACGAGGCGAACGUCUCGCGCAAGAAACGACGCGAAAAAACUUGUUGUUUUCGUUCGUACACGAUUCCAAUACAUCGAACCAAGCUUGCACUCGAACGAUAAAGGAAGGAAGGGACAAAUUCUCGAUCGAUCUUCCCAGAUUUUACAAUUUUUUUAUGAUUCUUGCUUCGAAAAGUAAAAUUGUUUGUAGUUUUUGUAUUCUUAACCUCAUUUUCGAUCGUGUCGCGAAUCUGAAUUUGUCAAAUUACAUAAAUCAAAACUUAGAAUCUCGAAAGUGUCCAUUUUCAAAUCUAUUAUCAACUUUUAUCAACUUACAGAAUUGAUAAAAUUUAAAAAUUUGGAAAAAUUGUCAAAUUUCCUAGAUUCUAAAAGUCAUCCUUAAUUAACCAACUCGAUAGGUUGCCCCGUUAAUCCGAUAGGUGGCCCUCUCGCGUCUCUCUCUCGAAAUAUCGAAGAAAAAGUAAGUUCAGUUUAGGAACUGGUUCGUAAUUCGAACUGAAAA